CCCUAAAGACUGGGAUACCACUUGGAAACAGGUGCUAAUACCGGAUAACAACAUGAAUCGCAUGAUUCAAGUUUGAAAGGCGGCGCAAGCUGUCACUUUAGGAUGAGCCCGCGGCGCAUUAGCUAGUUGGUGGGGUAAAGGCCUACCAAGGCAAUGAUGCGUAGCCGAGUUGAGAGACUGAUCGGCCACAUUGGGACUGAGACACGGCCCAAACUCCUACGGGAGGCAGCAGUAGGGAAUCUUCCACAAUGGACGCAAGUCUGAUGGAGCAACGCCGCGUGAGUGAAGAAGGUCUUCGGAUCGUAAAGCUCUGUUGUUGGUGAAGAAGGAUAGAGGCAGUAACUGGUCUUUAUUUGACGGUAAUCAACCAGAAAGUCACGGCUAACUACGUGCCAGCAGCCGCGGUAAUACGUAGGUGGCAAGCGUUGUCCGGAUUUAUUGGGCGUAAAGCGAGCGCAGGCGGAAUGAUAAGUCUGAUGUGAAAGCCCACGGCUCAACCGUGGAACUGCAUCGGAAACUGUCAUUCUUGAGUGCAGAAGAGGAGAGUGGAACUCCAUGUGUAGCGGUGGAAUGCGUAGAUAUAUGGAAGAACACCAGUGGCGAAGGCGGCUCUCUGGUCUGCAACUGACGCUGAGGCUCGAAAGCAUGGGUAGCGAACAGGAUUAGAUACCCUGGUAGUCCAUGCCGUAAACGAUGAGCGCUAGGUGUUGGGGACUUUCCGGUCCUCAGUGCCGCAGCAAACGCAUUAAGCGCUCCGCCUGGGGAGUACGACCGCAAGGUUGAAACUCAAAGGAAUUGACGGGGGCCCGCACAAGCGGUGGAGCAUGUGGUUUAAUUCGAAGCAACGCGAAGAACCUUACCAGGUCUUGACAUCCUGCGCUACACCUAGAGAUAGGUGGUUCCCUUCGGGGACGCAGAGACAGGUGGUGCAUGGCUGUCGUCAGCUCGUGUCGUGAGAUGUUGGGUUAAGUCCCGCAACGAGCGCAACCCUUGUCUUUAGUUGCCAUCAUUAAGUUGGGCACUCUAGAGAGACUGCCGGUGACAAACCGGAGGAAGGUGGGGAUGACGUC
rnacentral:rRNA from 1 species